ACAGCAGGAACUGGACGUUUAUUUCAAAGAAUUGCUCUUUAGUCUUUGGGACCAUAAGGAUAUUUGACAGACAUGCCCAGAUUCACCUGUCUCCUUGAACGUCUUAUUGCAUGAGCACUUAUCAGCAAUUGCCCUCAGUAAAAUGUAUUAGGCACUCUGUAAAUAUACAGAUAAAUAGAAAAGAAGUAACAGCUUGACCAGACCCAACAUCUGUGUCCAUGACUUGCUUGCCACAGAGGAUCAGCACUGUCUG